rnacentral:rRNA from 1 species
AGUGGCGGACGGGUGAGUAACGCGUAAGAAUCUAACUUCAGGACGGGGACAACAGUGGGAAACGACUGCUAAUACCCGAUGUGCCGCGAGGUGAAACCUAAUUGGCCUGAAGAAGAGCUUGCGUCUGAUUAGCUAGUUGGUGGGGUAAGAGCCUACCAAGGCGACGAUCAGUAGCUGGUCUGAGAGGAUGAGCAGCCACACUGGGACUGAGACACGGCCCAGACUCCUACGGGAGGCAGCAGUGGGGAAUUUUCCGCAAUGGGCGAAAGCCUGACGGAGCAACGCCGCGUGAGGGAGGAAGGUCUUUGGAUUGUAAACCUCUUUUCUCAAGGAAGAAGUUCUGACGGUACUUGAGGAAUCAGCCUCGGCUAACUCCGUGCCAGCAGCCGCGAUAAUACGGGGGAGGCAAGCGUUAUCCGGAAUUAUUGGGCGUAAAGCGUCCGCAGGUGGUCAGCCAAGUCUGCCGUCAAAUCAGGUUGCUUAACGACCUAAAGGCGGUGGAAACUGGCAGACUAGAGAGCAGUAGGGGUAGCAGGAAUUCCCAGUGUAGCGGUGAAAUGCGUAGAGAUUGGGAAGAACAUCGGUGGCGAAAGCGUGCUACUGGGCUGUAUCUGACACUCAGGGACGAAAGCUAGGGGAGCGAAAGGGAUUAGAUACCCCUGUAGUCCUAGCCGUAAACGAUGGAUACUAGGCGUGGCUU